UGGGGAAUUUUGGACAAUGGGCGAAAGCCUGAUCCAGCAAUGCCGCGUGUGUGAAGAAGGCCUUCGGGUUGUAAAGCACUUUUGUCCGGAAAGAAAUCCUUGGCUCUAAUACAGUCGGGGGAUGACGGUACCGGAAGAAUAAGCACCGGCUAACUACGUGCCAGCAGCCGCGGUAAUACGUAGGGUGCAAGCGUUAAUCGGAAUUACUGGGCGUAAAGCGUGCGCAGGCGGUUUGCUAAGACCGAUGUGAAAUCCCCGGGCUCAACCUGGGAACUGCAUUGGUGACUGGCAGGCUAGAGUAUGGCAGAGGGGGGUAGAAUUCCACGUGUAGCAGUGAAAUGCGUAGAGAUGUGGAGGAAUACCGAUGGCGAAGGCAGCCCCCUGGGCCAAUACUGACGCUCAUGCACGAAAGCGUGGGGAGCAAACAGGAUUAGAUACCCUGGGUAGUCCACGCCCCUAAACGAUGUCAACUAGUUGUUGGGGGAUUCAUUUCCUUAGUAACGUAGCUAACACGUGAAGUUGACCGCCUGGGGGAGUACGGUCGCAAGAUUAAAACUCAAAUGAAUUGACGGGGUCAUAGCUGUUUCCU
rnacentral:rRNA from 1 species